rnacentral:rRNA from 1 species
GGGGAAUAUUGGACAAUGGGGGCAACCCUGAUCCAGCGACGCCGCGUGUGUGAAGAAGGCCUGCGGGUUGUAAAGCACUUUUAGUGGGGAGGAAACGCUCAGACCUAACACGUCUGGGAACUGACUUAACCCAAAGAAAAAGCACCGGCUAACUCUGUGCCAGCAGCCGCGGUAAUACAGAGGGUGCAAGCGUUAAUCGGAAUUACUGGGCGUAAAGCGAACGUAGGCGGUUACCUAAGUCGGAUGUGAAAUCCCCGGGCUCAACCUGGGAAUUGCAUUCGAGACUGGGUGGCUAGAAUGCGGAAGGGGGAAGCGGAAUUUCCGGUGUAGCGGUGAAAUGCGUAGAUAUCGGAAGGAACAUCAGUGGCGAAAGCGGCUUCCUGGUCCAGCAUUGACGCUCAGGUUCGAAAGCGUGGGGAGCAAAC